rnacentral:rRNA from 1 species
UGGGGAAUAUUGCACAAUGGGCGCAAGCCUGAUGCAGCCAUGCCGCGUGUAUGAAGAAGGCCUUCGGGUUGUAAAGUACUUUCAGUCGGGAGGAAGGUGGUAAGGUUAAUAACCUUGGCAAUUGACGUUACCGACAGAAGAAGCACCGGCUAACUCCGUGCCAGCAGCCGCGGUAAUACGGAGGGUGCAAGCGUUAAUCGGAAUUACUGGGCGUAAAGCGCACGCAGGCGGUCUGUCAAGUCGGAUGUGAAAUCCCCGGGCUCAACCUGGGAACUGCAUUCGAAACUGGCAGGCUUGAGUCUCGUAGAGGGGGGUAGAAUUCCAGGUGUAGCGGUGAAAUGCGUAGAGAUCUGGAGGAAUACCGGUGGCGAAGGCGACCCCCUGGACGAAGACUGACGCUCAGGUGCGAAAGCGUGGGGAGCAAACAGG